UAUUAAGUAACUUAAACAUAAAGUAAUGAUUUUUUAAAUCAUAAAUGAUAAAAUUUAUCCUUAUUAA
rnacentral:tRNA from 1 species